ensembl:lncRNA
AUCUUGUACAAAGGCAGACAGAACAGAUGUUGUGAAAAGAAAGACCCAAAACCUAAAACAUCAUGACAUUUUUACAGAUGUUCACUCAGUUAAACCUUGAUACAACCACAAAAACAACAAAUAAAGCAGCCAGAAACCUAAACUAUCUGACCCUGACUGACACUUUCUGCCACGGGCCAACAGGUUCCAGCCUCCAUCAUCCUGUGUGACUCAGUGACGAUGAUGAACCAACUCACUCUAACCCCUAUGCUAAUGCUAUAUAAUAAUGCUCAUUACUGCAUUAACUAAUGCUAAGGUUAAGAAGUUGUGAUUAUAAUUCAUUUUUGAUCAUCAUGUUUUCAUGAAAGAAUUUGAGUCCCUUGAUUGCCUUCCUGCAGGUCUCCCAAAUGAGCUUAACGUCUUUAGCGGACGGGAGCCAUUUAGCUUUUAGUUCAGGGAUAUACUCCUUAAAUUCAUCAAAUAGCUUCUUGGCUGCCACAUACUCAGGCUCACUGUUUGGUAGGACUUUCAACAUAUUGUCCCAUAUAUGAAUUUGCUCGUUUAUUAAGCUGUCAGCAGCCAUCUCAACAUCGAAGUCUUC